UUCUAGUGGCGGACGGGUGAGUAACGCGUGGGUAACCUGCCUUAUACAGGGGGAUAACAGUCAGAAAUGACUGCUAAUACCGCAUAAGCGCACAGAGCCGCAUGGCUCGGUGUGAAAAACUCCGGUGGUAUAAGAUGGACCCGCGUUGGAUUAGCUAGUUGGUGAGGUAACGGCCCACCAAGGCGACGAUCCAUAGCCGGCCUGAGAGGGUGAACGGCCACAUUGGGACUGAGACACGGCCCAGACUCCUACGGGAGGCAGCAGUGGGGAAUAUUGCACAAUGGGGGAAACCCUGAUGCAGCGACGCCGCGUGAAGGAAGAAGUAUCUCGGUAUGUAAACUUCUAUCAGCAGGGAAGAAAAUGACGGUACCUGACUAAGAAGCCCCGGCUAACUACGUGCCAGCAGCCGCGGUAAUACGUAGGGGGCAAGCGUUAUCCGGAUUUACUGGGUGUAAAGGGAGCGUAGACGGAUGGACAAGUCUGAUGUGAAAGGCUGGGGCUCAACCCCGGGACUGCAUUGGAAACUGCCCGUCUUGAGUGCCGGAGAGGUAAGCGGAAUUCCUAGUGUAGCGGUGAAAUGCGUAGAUAUUAGGAGGAACACCAGUGGCGAAGGCGGCU
rnacentral:rRNA from 1 species